GACGAACGCUGGCGGCGUGCUUAACACAUGCAAGUCGAACGGAAAGGCCCUGCUUUUGUGGGGUGCUCGAGUGGCGAAAGGGUGAGUAACACGUGAGUAACCUGCCCUUGACUUUGGGAUAACUUCAGGAAACUGGGGCUAAUACCGGAUAGGAGCUCCUGCUGCAUGGUGGGGGUUGGAAAGUUUCGGCGGUUGGGGAUGGACUCGCGGCUUAUCAGCUUGUUGGUGGGGUAGUGGCUUACCAAGGCUUUGACGGGUAGCCGGGCUGAGAGGGUGACCGGCCACAUUGGGACUGAGAUACGGCCCAGACUCCUACGGGAGGCAGCAGUGGGGAAUAUUGCACAAUGGGCGGAAGCCUGAUGCAGCAACGCCGCGUGCGGGAUGACGGCCUUCGGGUUGUAAACCGCUUUCGCCUGUGACGAAGCGUGAGUGACGGUAAUGGGUAAAGAAGCACCGGCUAACUACGUG
rnacentral:rRNA from 1 species